rnacentral:rRNA from 1 species
UACGUAGGGUGCAAGCGUUGUCCGGAAUUAUUGGGCGUAAAGAGCUCGUAGGCGGUUUGUUGCGUCGGCUGUGAAAUCCCGAGGCUCAACCUCGGGUCUGCAGUCGAUACGAGCAAACUAGAGUACGGGAGAGGGGGGUGGAAUUCCUGGUGUAGGGGUGAAAUUCGUUGAUAUCAGGAGGAACACCGGCGGCGAAGGCGGCCCCCUGGCCCGCAACUGACGCUCAUGGUCGAAAGCGUGGGGAGCAAACAGG